rnacentral:rRNA from 1 species
UACGAAGGGUGCAAGCGUUAAUCGGAAUUACUGGGCGUAAAGCGCGCGUAGGUGGUUUGUUAAGUUGGAUGUGAAAGCCCCGGGCUCAACCUGGGAACUGCAUCCAAAACUGGCAAGCUAGAGUAUGGCAGAGGGUGGUGGAAUUUCCUGUGUAGCGGUGAAAUGCGUAGAUAUAGGAAGGAACACCAGUGGCGAAGGCGACCACAUGGGCUAAUACGGAAACUGAGGUGCGCAAGCGUGGGGCGCACACAGGAGGAGAUAACCGGGUAGUCC